CCUUCCCGAUAAACACUGGAGGGGGGUGGGGUGUCAGAGCAGUGUGAGGGCUCUGCCACUUUAAGACCUGGGUCAGGCAGCAGGCAGGUGCGGCCCAGCCCUAACGAGUGGCCAUUUUAAGUCCCAGGGCGGGAGGCAGCACUUGCUGCCAGGCACCGUGGAAGUAACAUUGCCGGGAAGAACUGCUGCUCCAAGACCAGCGUAGAGAUAUGGGUGGGGAAGGAGGAGGCCCCAGUGGUCCUGGGCAUGGCCUAAAGCUGCACCCUGCUGGGGCCGGGAGAGCUGGUGGUCCGGCCUCUGGUGGGGCAGGGCCAUUGAAAUGCCAGGUUUGAGGACCUUCCCGGUGAAAGUGGAAGUGCCACGACAAUGAAAGAAUCCACCUUUCAACACCAGCGUUGAUGUUUGCCUGACUAGCUGCUGGAGGAUGUGGACAGGCAGUGGAAGCACAUUUUAAGCAAUCCUGUUCUUCUUUGGAAAUAAGCAGCACACGCUCAGAAAUGCACAUUAGUCCAGAAACUGUUACCUGCGUGCAUGUUAGACCGGACACGAGAGAAAAAUGGACUCCACAGGAUGCAAACACCUUACCUGACAAACUGAUCACAACUGGGCAUGAUGAGAAAAGAAAAUCACAGAUGCUCUAAAAACGACUAAUAAGUGGCUGAGGGUGGAAGAAAUCCUGGAUCACCUAGUUUGGCCGAAAUAUAAGCACGAAACACUGAUGUAGAGUCUGCUGGAGUUGUAUGUCAGAUAUUUAAAAAAACCAAGACCCUAAGAUGCACAGAAAAGGAUCGGGAUAGGAAUUCUGGGAUUUGUCUGAUUAUCUCCACUGAGAGUGUUGGUUUUGAUUUAUCAACAGAAAAGCUUUUUGUAUUUCUAAGUGACUUAGACACAGUAGACCAAAGUGAAAGCAAAGAGGACUUUACCACAUUAUAAGAGCAGACUAUAAAUACAGUCUGAUGUAAAUAUUUU